rnacentral:lncRNA from 1 species
CGCAAAGAGUCGGACACGACUGAGCAACUGAACUGAACUGAACUGAGCAUUUUACAAAUUACACCUAAUCACUAAGAUUAUAAACAGAGGUUAAAUGUAAUCACCGUUUGUUUUAUUACUCAAAACAAGUUCCCAGAGGAGUGUAACUCACACAACAAAAGUGACAAUAUUCCUGUCACUCCUCAGAAAUGUCCCAGCUCUGCGGGUUUCCAUAUUCAGGAGAAUGAAGAAGGCCAUUACGAGGAAAAAAUGGCUAUUAAUUAAAUGCUGCUGCUGCUGCUGCUGCUAAGUCGCUUCAGUCGUGUCCGAC